rnacentral:rRNA from 1 species
GAAACAGAUGCUAAUACCGGAUAACAACACUAGACGCAUGUCUAGAGUUUGAAAGAUGGUUCUGCUAUCACUCUUGGAUGGACCUGCGGUGCAUUAGCUAGUUGGUAAGGUAACGGCUUACCAAGGCAAUGAUGCAUAGCCGAGUUGAGAGACUGAUCGGCCACAUUGGGACUGAGACACGGCCCAAACUCCUACGGGAGGCAGCAGUAGGGAAUCUUCCACAAUGGACGAAAGUCUGAUGGAGCAACGCCGCGUGAGUGAAGAAGGGUUUCGGCUCGUAAAGCUCUGUUGGUAGUGAAGAAAGAUAGAGGUAGUAACUGGCCUUUAUUUGACGGUAAUUACUUAGAAAGUCACGGCUAACUACGUGCCAGCAGCCGCGGUAAUACGUAGGUGGCAAGCGUUGUCCGGAUUUAUUGGGCGUAAAGCGAGUGCAGGCGGUUCAAUAAGUCUGAUGUGAAAGCCUUCGGCUCAACCGGAGAAUUGCAUCAGAAACUGUUGAACUUGAGUGCAGAAGAGGAGAGUGGAACUCCAUGUGUAGCGGUGGAAUGCGUAGAUAUAUGGAAGAACACCAGUGGCGAAGGCGGCUCUCUGGUCUGCAACUGACGCUGAGGCUCGAAAGCAUGGGUAGCGAACAGGAUUAGAUACCCUGGUAGUCC